rnacentral:rRNA from 1 species
AAUCAACGCUGGCGGCGUGCCUCAGACAUGCAAGUCGAACGCGAAAGUCCCCUUCGGGGGACAAGUAGAGUGGCGCACGGGUGAGUAACACGUAGGUAAUCUACCUUCGGAUGGGGAAUAACAACCGGAAACGGUUGCUAAUACCGCAUAAUGCAGCGGCACCUAAUGGUGACAGUUGUUAAAGCGGGGGAUCGAAAGACCUCGCGUCUGAAGAGGAGCCUGCGGCGGAUUAGCAGUUGGUAAGGUAACGGCUUACCAAGGCGACGAUCCGUAGCCGGCCUGAGAGGGGCGGUCGGCCACACUGACACUGACAUACGGGUCAGACUCCUACGGGAGGCAGCAGUCGGGAAUUUUGGGCAAUGGGCGAAAGCCUGACCCAGCAACGCCGCGUGGGGAUGAAGGCC